AAGGGUGGUCGUUACAGUUUUGCCCCUCUCUCCUCUCUCUCCUCUUUCUUUUCUCGUCUCUCACGUCUUCCUUCCUCCGCUCGACUCUUCUCUCUUCUCUCAGCCUCCACCUCGCUGAAAUCCUCGGCCAAUCAGAUCCAAUGGAGGUCGUUGUCCGCUGAAGCCCCGACGGAGAUACCGAUUGCGAUUGCCUUGCUUCGUCUCCUGAUCGCCUUGUUCUAACGACGAAAUAGGAGUAGGGGAGUCGUCCUUGUGAUGGUCGCCACGCCGGACGAGGUGGGAUGGGCAUAGCUCCCCGAUAAAAGCCUAUAAUAGCUUUACGAUCUCUAGAAGACCGUCGCUGACCUGGAAGCAUGUAAAGUUUUCCUCUUUACUGUUUAAAUUUGUGAUUUAAUGCCGGCGAGGGGUGUUCGAUCCUAUCCCUUUUGGGGAUUUAGACGUUCCAUCGUGGUCAGGUACUCUGAUGCUUGUUUCUAUUUGGAUUGGCUUCUCUUGGAAGAUGAUGUGCUUGUGUUUUCUCGUUCAUUAUCUUUUGCCCCUAUCGUGAAAUCAUUUGAUUUGGUGCCAUGAGUGAAUUUGUAAUAAUGGAUUCUCGACCUGUUAUUUUAUUUUGGUUCACUGAUGAAGGUUCUUUUUUUUUUAACCACCGGACCAAGGUUUGAUUUGGAUGCAUAUUUUUGUUGGCUUGGUUCUGUAUUCUGGUAUACCAUGCAUUGUUUUUUCAUGAUCAUUGCAUAUCCAAAUUUUUGUAAACUUAUCGUGAGGGGCAGGUGGUUAUGUUUUCUAUCUCAUAUAGUGCUGUGAUUCUGCCUUUGGGUGCGGAAGAUGAUGCGGUAUUUCUGAAAGCAAGUUUCUACUUCUGAUAAACUUAAGAUUGAGGCAACAAUGCUAUUCAAAAAGAUUUCCUUAAAGUUGGAUGCACUGUCUCACUUCCAUUUUGCUCCAAAGCUGGUUAUUGAGGACAUGUCUAUACAAGUCAAUGUACCUGCUGUAGCAAUGGAAGAGGU